UACAGAGGUCCCGAGCGUUGUUCGGAUUCACUGGGCGUAAAGGGCGCGUAGGUGGCUUGGUAAGCGUGUGGUGAAAGUCCGGGGCUCAACCCCGGAUCUGCCAUGCGAACUGCCGAGCUCGAGCAUUGUAGAGGCAGGUGGAAUUUCGGGUGUAGCGGUGGAAUGCGUAGAUAUCCGAAAGAACACCGGUGGCGAAGGCGGCCUGCUGGGCAAUUGCUGACACUGAGGCGCGACAGCGUGGGGAGCAAACGGG
rnacentral:rRNA from 1 species